ACGGGAGGCAGCAGUGGGGAAUAUUGCACAAUGGGCGAAAGCCUGAUGCAGCGACGCCGCGUGAGCGAUGAAGUAUUUCGGUAUGUAAAGCUCUAUCAGCAGGGAAGAAAAUGACGGUACCUGACUAAGAAGCCCCGGCUAACUACGUGCCAGCAGCCGCGGUAAUACGUAGGGGGCAAGCGUUAUCCGGAUUUACUGGGUGUAAAGGGAGCGUAGACGGCGAUGCAAGUCUGAAGUGAAAGCCCGGGGCUUAACCCCGGGACUGCUUUGGAAACUGUGUUGCUAGAGUGCAGGAGAGGUAAGCGGAAUUCCUAGUGUAGCGGUGAAAUGCGUAGAUAUUAGGAGGAACACCGGUGGCGAAGGCGGCUUACUGGACUGUAACUGACGUUGAGGCUCGAAAGCGUGGGGAGCAAACAGGAUUAGAUACCCUGGUA
rnacentral:rRNA from 1 species